rnacentral:rRNA from 1 species
GAUGAACGCUGGCGGCGUGCCUAACACAUGCAAGUCGAGCGAACCCUUCGGGGUGAGCGGCGGACGGGUGAGUAACGCGUGGGUAACCUGCCCUAUACACACGGAUAACGUACCGAAAGGUACGCUAAUACGAGAUAACAUAUUUUUAUCGCAUGGUAAAAAAUAUCAAAAGCUCCGGCGGUAUAGGAUGGACCCGCGUCUGAUUAGCUAGUUGGUAAGGUAAUGGCUUACCAAGGCGACGAUCAGUAGCCGACCUGAGAGGGUGAUCGGCCACAUUGGAACUGAGACACGGUCCAAACUCCUACGGGAGGCAGCAGUGGGGAAUAUUGCACAAUGGGCGAAAGCCUGAUGCAGCAACGCCGCGUGAAGGAAGAAGGUCUUCGGAUCGUAAACUUCUGUCCUUAGGGAAGAUAAUGACGGUACCUUGGAGGAAGCCCCGGCUAACUACGUG